UAAAUGCAGGAAUAGGAUUGGAUAUGUAUUAUUUAUUGUCUUAAAUAUUGUUAGAUUCAAGGAUGUAUUUAUAAACCAUGAUAUUAGAAUGUCGGUCGGAAACCUGCUGAUGAGGGACCAAAGGUCUGAAACACAAAGAUAUCGUGUGUGUGUUCAGGUGAUAAAUAAAAGACUGUUUUUUUUCUGA